rnacentral:tRNA from 1 species
CGGGGUGUGGCGCAGUCUGGUAGCGCACUAGGCUGGGGGUCUAGUGGUCGGAGGUUCAAAUCCUCUCGCCCCGACCA